rnacentral:rRNA from 1 species
UACGUAGGGUGCAAGCGUUGUCCGGAAUUAUUGGGCGUAAAGAGCUCGUAGGCGGUCUGUCGCGUCGGCUGUGAAAACCCGGAGCUCAACUCCGGGCCUGCAGUCGAUACGGGCAGACUGGAGUUCGGCAGGGGAGACUGGAAUUCCUGGUGUAGCGGUGAAAUGCGCAGAUAUCAGGAGGAACACCGGUGGCGAAGGCGGCGAUCUGGCCCAACAUUGACACUGAGACCCAAAAGCGUGGGGAUCAAACAGG